AUCCGGUUGACGAGUCUGAAAUAGGACGAAACACGUGUCCUGAAU
rnacentral:hammerhead_ribozyme from 1 species